rnacentral:tRNA from 1 species
AUAGUGUUAGUUAAGUUAUAAUGUUUACUUGUCGUGUAGAAGUUGCUUAUUUUAAGCACACUAUU